GAUGAACGCUGGCGGCGUGCAUUAGGCAUGCAAGUGGAACGAUUUGGCUUCGGCCAAAAAGUCGCGAACGGCUGAGUAACACGUAGGAAUCUACCCCUUGGCGGAGAAUACCCAUUCGAAAGAGUGGUUAAUACUGCAUAAGAUCGCAAGAUGAAAGGGCGUAACUGCCCACCGAGGGAAGAGCCUGCGGCCUAUCAGCUUGUUGGUAGGGUAAAAGCCUACCAAGGCUACGACGGGUAGGGGGCGUGAGAGCGUGUACCCCCAGAAUGGCACUGAGAUACGGGCCAUACACCUACGGGUGGCAGCAACCGGGAAUUGUGCGCAAUGGACGAAAGUCUGACGCCGCGACGCCGCGUGAAGGAUGAAGGCCUAUGGGUCGUAAACUUCUUUUGCCAAAAGGGAGACCUUUUGGAGAAUAAGCACCCGCUAACUACGUGCCAGCAGCUGCGGUAAGACGUAGGGUGCAAGCGUUAUCCGGAUUUAUUGGGCGUAAAGCGUUUCGUAGGCGGUUUGACAAGUCAUACUUUAAAGACCGGGGCUUAACCUCGGAAGGGGGUAUGAUACUUUCAGACUUGAAGAAUGUCGGGGCUACUGGAAUUGUCGGUGUAGGGGUGAAAUCCGUUGAUAUCGACAAGAACACCAAGGGCGAAGGCGGGUAGCUGGGCAUUAUUUGACGCUGAGGAACGAAAGCUAGGGUAGCGAGAGGGAUUAGAGACCCCUGUAGUCCUAGCCGUAAACGAUGCUCGCUAGGGAUUCCCGAUUUAUCGGGAGUCUCGUAAGCUAACGCGUUAAGCGAGCCGCCUGGGGAGUACGACCGCAAGGUUAAAACUCAAAGGAAUUGACGGGGACCCGCACAACCAGUGGAGCAUGUGGUUUAAUUCGAGACAAACCGAAGAACCUUACCUGGACUUGACAUCCUAGCUGCACGUCGCUAGAAAUAGCGAUUUCUUCGAGAGUGCUAGGACAGGUGUUGCAUGGCUGUCGUCAGCUCGUGCCGUGGGGUGUUCCCUUCAGUGGGGUAACGAGCGCAACCCCUGCCGUAUGUUGAAUUGUUCAUACGGGACUACCCCGCUUUGCGGGGAGGAAGUGGGGACGACGUCAAGUCAGCAUGGCCCUUAUGUCCAGGGCUACACACAUGCUACAAUGGAGCCGACAAUGGGUUGCCAAGCGGUAACGCGGAGCUAAUCCCAUCAAACGGCUUCUCAGUGGGGAUUGAGGGCUGCAACUUGCCCUUAUGAACGAGGAAUUGGUAGUAAUCGCGGAUCAGCCAAGCCGCGGUGAAUACGUUCUCGGGUCUUGUACACACCGCCCGUCAAGUGAGUAAAGUUGGGAGCACCCGAAGUCGUCGUGAGACGACGAAGGUGAGAUCAGCGACAAGCACUAAGUCGUAACAAGGUAACCUUAAU
rnacentral:rRNA from 1 species